GCUUACGGCCAUACCAGCUGAAGAACGCACCGAUCUCGUCUGAUCUCGGAAGCUAAGAAGGCUUGGCCUGGUUAGUAAUUGGAUGGGAGACUGCCUGGGAAUACCAGGUGCUGUAAGCU
ensembl:rRNA 5S_rRNA 5S ribosomal RNA